CUAUCACAAGAGGGCGAAUGCGUCUUUUAAUUCGGCGGAAACUCACCUGAUUUUCUAACUGCCAUGGCUGUGCCGUCAACGGCUGGACGGGCGAAGCGGGCCGAAUUUCAGGUUCAGGAGAAGGCGAAUGGCCCAGAUCAAUGGACUUAACGUCGUCGGCGUCGGGGACGGUGCUGAAAAAGGCAGCUGGCCGGUUCCGGCGAGGAGUACUACGAGCAGAACCGGGAGAAUCCAUGCAGACUGAAGCUGAGACGCCGACUGUCGCCGCCGGCUCUUCCAUACUUCAUACUUAUCCGCAUUCGGGGCCUCCUCUCAGGUCUUUCAUGACGUCACUGCUGUCCGUUGGGGGAAGAAAUUGGUGCAAUCGAUGGGUCGGAUUUUUACGGCAAUGGUAGUAGCGGACGGAAUAUAUUUUAAGUAGUAAUUGAUGUAAGAUUUGAAAGAGGCCAUUUAUCACCGAUGGGUCUUUUAGGCCCUAGUUCGUCGUUUAGAAUCACCCUACUUCCCUUCCCUAUGGAGGUUAUGCCAGAACGUGUCUCUGGAAAACGAGACGCGAAAACACGGAAUUUGAGGACGGGGCGGGCAAGCUGCCGAAUGGUUUAGAUCCGUGUAGGGCUCCAUCGUAGGUUCCCAGUGACGGAUGUGGGCUGCCACC
rnacentral:lncRNA from 1 species